rnacentral:tRNA from 1 species
GGAUUGUGACUCAGUGAUAGAGCGCUCGCCUGGCAUGCAGGAGGCACUGGGUUCGAUCCUCAGCACCA